GUGCUUGCUUUGACAGCACAUAUACUAAAAUUGGAAUAAUACAGAGAAAAUUAACAUGGUCCCUGCACAACGAUGACAUACAAAUUCAUGAAGUAUUUCGUAUUUUU
rnacentral:snRNA from 1 species